rnacentral:rRNA from 1 species
GAUGAACGCUAGCUACAGGCUUAACACAUGCAAGUCGAGGGGAAACGACAUCGAAAGCUUGCUUUUGAUGGGCGUCGACCGGCGCACGGGUGAGUAACGCGUAUCCAACCUGCCCAUCACUCGGGAAUAACCUUGCGAAAGUAAGACUAAUACCCAAUGACAUCCCACGAAGACAUCUGAAUGGGAUUAAAGAUUUAUCGGUGAUGGAUGGGGAUGCGUCUGAUUAGCUUGUUGGCGGGGUAACGGCCCACCAAGGCAACGAUCAGUAGGGGUUCUGAGAGGAAGGUCCCCCACAUUGGAACUGAGACACGGUCCAAACUCCUACGGGAGGCAGCAGUGAGGAAUAUUGGUCAAUGGGCGAGAGCCUGAACCAGCCAAGUAGCGUGCAGGAUGACGGCCCUAUGGGUUGUAAACUGCUUUUAUAAGGGAAUAAAGUGGGUCUCGUGAGACUUUUUGCAUGUACCUUAUGAAUAAGGACCGGCUAAUUCCGUG